GGCCCCUUAGCUCAGUGGUUGAAACAGGCGACUCAUAAUCGCGGUCGCUGGUUCAAGUCCAGCAGGGGCCG
rnacentral:tRNA from 1 species